CUCCUCCUGCGGUUCCUGUCGCGGCGGCGGCGUCUGCACUCCCUCCGAAACCCUCCUCCUGUCCAUUUCCCCCGUCAGAUCUGCACGGGGCGACCUCCACUGACCGGGCGAGCACGGCGCGAGCUCGGCACGGGUUAGGCGAGGUGGAGCUCCGCCGAGCAGCAGCCCUCCUCUCCGUCGCCGUACCCCCUAGGCCCUAACACGAGCGACGAGGCACCCUAAUCCCCGUCUCCCAUCGUCGAGCUCGCUGCCCCCUCUCCCAUACCUCGUCACUCUCUCCCGCUCCACCCCUCCUACUCAUCCACUCCACGCACUCCUAACCGCCUUCUGCUUUAGAUAUGGAUCUUGGGUGUUGACCACAUGGGGGGCUGCUUUUUUUUGUUGCUUCUGGGUUACAGGCUCACCCGAGCGCAAGCACGAGCGGCGCCAAGUCCGUCCUCCAUGCCGUCAAGAUCACGCAGACAACCAAUGGUGGUCCCCUCCGACUACGCCAAUAUAUUCUUCUGCGGCAUCUGAAGGCUGUUCGUGGAGCCGGCUAACGCGUGCGACAUUCUCGCUGGUGCUUCUCGCUACUUGUGCCCUCCAGCAUCCGGAUUAGUGGUCAGCCGGUGACAGUAGGCCCAUGCACCGAAUGGCUCCCUUGUUGGCGUUGAGUCAGACCUCUAGGUGAUUUAAAGGGUUAAAGAAUUAGCAGUUAGAAUAGAAGAGAGGCCUCGCAGAAAAGAAAUCAUUGUAGCCAAAUGUGCUGCCACAACACAUCAAAACUGAUAGCUGGUGAAAAAGAAUUCUUUGCUUAGUUGCUGCCGCUGGUUCAUACUCUUGGUGAAAUCUAUCUUUUGUUUUUUUUUCUGGUCCAUUUUGUUGUCUUUGGUCCUUCAAUGUUAGAUUGCUAGUUCUGAUUCAUGGAAAACACGGCAUGUGAUCCAUUAUUAUGGUGUCAUGAUGCUGGAUGCAAAUAUUAUUGAUAUGAAGUUAUAAUUUGGGCUGUAAUUGCUUAUUGUGACUUUUGGGCUGGAACUUUUGUUUUGGUAAAUGGGCUAUGUAUAAGCUGAAUUUGAUUAGCUAAUAAUAAAUGUUGGGCUGAAA